rnacentral:ncRNA from 1 species
UGAGGGGGUCAGGGCUCUGAAGCCCCCAAAGAGCCCUGGCUAACUUUAACUGUGGGGGGUAA